GAUGAACGCUGGCGGCGUGCCUAAUACAUGCAAGUCGAGCGAACAGACGAGGAGCUUGCUCCUCUGACGUUAGCGGCGGACGGGUGAGUAACACGUGGAUAACCUACCUAUAAGACUGGGAUAACUUCGGGAAACCGGAGCUAAGACCGGAUAAUAUAUUGAACCGCAUGGUUCAAUAGUGAAAGACGGUUUUGCUGUCACUUAUAGAUGGAUCCGCGCCGCAUUAGCUAGUUGGUAAGGUAACGGCUUACCAAGGCAACGAUGCGUAGCCGACCUGAGAGGGUGAUCGGCCACACUGUAACUGAGACACGGUCCAGACUCCUACGGGAGGACGCAGUAGGGAAUCCUACGCAAAGGGGGAAAGCCUGACGGAGCAACGCCGCGUGAGUGAUGAAGGUCUUCGGAUCGUAAAACUCUGUUAUUAGGGAAGAACAAAUGUGUAAGUAACUAUGCACGUCUUGACGGUACCUAAUCAGAAAGCCACGGCUAACUACGUG
rnacentral:rRNA from 1 species